UACAGUUUACUAACGAUGAAAUCGGGUCACAAGACAAUGUAUUUAAUUACUUUAACAAGAAACUCAGACAGGCCGUAUCUAAAAAGAAGCUGUCUAGCGCGACAACUUUAAGUGAUUCGAUUUCGCCUAAGCAAAAGGACGAGGCUUUACAGGUACCUACUUUA